CCUACGGGAGGCAGCAGUAGGGAAUCUUCCGCAAUGGACGAAAGUCUGACGGAGCAAUGCCGCGUGAACGAUGAAGGCCUUCGGGUCGUAAAGUUCUGUUGUUAGGGAAGAACAAGUGCUAGUUAAAUAAGCUGGCACCUUGACGGUACCUAACCAGAAAGCCACGGCUAACUACGUGCCAGCAGCCGCGGUAAUACGUAGGUGGCAAGCGUUGUCCGGAAUUAUUGGGCGUAAAGCGCGCGCAGGCGGUUUCUUAAGUCUGAUGUGAAAGCCCCCGGCUCAACCGGGGAGGGUCAUUGGAAACUGGGAAACUUGAGUGCAGAAGAGGAAAGUGGAAUUCCAAGUGUAGCGGUGAAAUGCGUAGAGAUUUGGAGGAACACCAGUGGCGAAGGCGACUUUCUGGUCUGUAACUGACGCUGAGGCGCGAAAGCGUGGGGAGCAAACAGGAUUAGAUACCCUGGUAGUCCACGCUGUAAACGAUGAGUGCUAAGUGUUAGAGGGUUUCCGCCCUUUAGUGCUGAAGUUAACGCAUUAAGCACUCCGCCUGGGGAUACGGUCGCAAGACUGAACUCAAAGGAAUUGACGG
rnacentral:rRNA from 1 species